rnacentral:rRNA from 1 species
UACAGAGGUCCCAAGCGUUGUUCGGAUUCACUGGGCGUAAAGGGUGCGUAGGUGGUGAGGUAAGUCGGAUGUGAAAGCUCGGAGCUCAACUCCGAAAUGGCAUUGGAAACUACCUUGCUCGAGGGUUGGAGGGGGGACUGGAAUGCUUGGUGUAGCAGUGAAAUUCGUAGAUAUUCGCAAGAACACCAGUGGCGAAGGCGGCUCACUGGCCCGGAACUGACGCUGAGGUGCGAAAGCGUGGGGAGCAAACAGG